UUAAGCGACUAAGCGUACACGGUGGAUGCCCUGGCAGUCAGAGGCGAUGAAGGACGUGCUAAUCUGCGAAAAGCGACGGCGAGGUGAUAUGAACCUUUGACCCGUCGAUGUCCGAAUGGGGAAACCCAGUGUGUUUCGACACACUAUCGUUAACUGAAUACAUAGGUUAACGAGGCGAACCGGGGGAACUGAAACAUCUAAGUACCCCGAGGAAAAGAAAUCAACCGAGAUUCCCCCAGUAGCGGCGAGCGAACGGGGAGCAGCCCGGAGUCUGAAUCAGCUUGUGUGUUAGUGGAACGGUCUGGAAAGUCCGACGGUACAGGGUGAUAGUCCCGUACACGAAAACACACUUGCUGUGAACUCGAAGAGUAGGGCGGGACACGUGGUAUCCUGUCUGAAUAUGGGGGGACCAUCCUCCAAGGCUAAAUACUCCUGACUGACCGAUAGUGAACCAGUACCGUGAGGGAAAGGCGAAAAGAACCCCGGCGAGGGGAGUGAAAAAGAACCUGAAACCGUGUACGUACAAGCAGUGGGAGCACCUUCGGGUGUGACUGCGUACCUUUUGUAUAAUGGGUCAGCGACUUAUAUUCUGUAGCAAGGUUAACCGUAUAGGGGAGCCGAAGGGAAACCGAGUCUUAACUGGGCGUUAAGUUGCAGGGUAUAGACCCGAAACCCGGUGAUCUAGCCAUGGGCAGGUUGAAGGUUGGGUAACACUAACUGGAGGACCGAACCGACUAAUGUUGAAAAAUUAGCGGAUGACCUGUGGCUGGGGGUGAAAGGCCAAUCAAACCGGGAGAUAGCUGGUUCUCCCCGAAAGCUAUUUAGGUAGCGCCUCGUGAACUCAUCUUCGGGGGUAGAGCACUGUUUCGGCUAGGGGGCCAUCCCGGCUUACCAACCCGAUGCAAACUACGAAUACCGAAGAAUGUUAUCACGGGAGACACACGGCGGGUGCUAACGUCCGUCGUGAAGAGGGAAACAACCCAGACCGCCAGCUAAGGUCCCAAAGUCAUGGUUAAGUGGGAAACGAUGUGGGAAGGCACAGACAGCCAGGAUGUUGGCUUAGAAGCAGCCAUCAUUUAAAGAAAGCGUAAUAGCUCACUGGUCGAGUCGGCCUGCGCGGAAGAUGUAACGGGGCUAAACCAUGCACCGAAGCUGCGGCAGCGACACUUAUGUGUUGUUGGGUAGGGGAGCGUUCUGUAAGCCGUUGAAGGUGUGCUGUGAGGCAUGCUGGAGGUAUCAGAAGUGCGAAUGCUGACAUAAGUAACGAUAAAGCGGGUGAAAAGCCCGCUCGCCGGAAGACCAAGGGUUCCUGUCCAACGUUAAUCGGGGCAGGGUGAGUCGACCCCUAAGGCGAGGCCGAAAGGCGUAGUCGAUGGGAAACAGGUUAAUAUUCCUGUACUUGGUGUUACUGCGAAGGGGGGACGGAGAAGGCUAUGUCAGCCGGGCGACGGUUGUCCCGGUUUAAGCAUGUAGGCGGAGGUUCCAGGUAAAUCCGGUACCUUGUUAACGCUGAGGUGUGAUGACGAGGCACUACGGUGCUGAAGUGAUAAAUGCCCUGCUUCCAGGAAAAGCCUCUAAGCAUCAGGUAACACGAAAUCGUACCCCAAACCGACACAGGUGGUCAGGUAGAGAAUACCAAGGCGCUUGAGAGAACUCGGGUGAAGGAACUAGGCAAAAUGGUGCCGUAACUUCGGGAGAAGGCACGCUGAUAUGUAGGUGAAGCCCCUGCGGGCGGAGCUGAAAUCAGUCGAAGAUACCAGCUGGCUGCAACUGUUUAUUAAAAACACAGCACUGUGCAAACACGAAAGUGGACGUAUACGGUGUGACGCCUGCCCGGUGCCGGAAGGUUAAUUGAUGGGGUUAGCGGCAACGCGAAGCUCUUGAUCGAAGCCCCGGUAAACGGCGGCCGUAACUAUAACGGUCCUAAGGUAGCGAAAUUCCUUGUCGGGUAAGUUCCGACCUGCACGAAUGGCGUAAUGAUGGCCAGGCUGUCUCCACCCGAGACUCAGUGAAAUUGAACUCGCUGUGAAGAUGCAGUGUACCCGCGGCAAGACGGAAAGACCCCGUGAACCUUUACUAUAGCUUGACACUGAACACUGGUCCUUGAUGUGUAGGAUAGGUGGGAGGCUUUGAAGCGUGGACGCCAGUCUGCGUGGAGCCGUCCUUGAAAUACCACCCUUUAAUGGCUGGUGUUCUAACGUAGACCCGUGAUCCGGGUUGCGGACAGUGUCUGGUGGGUAGUUUGACUGGGGCGGUCUCCUCCCAAAGAGUAACGGAGGAGCACGAAGGUUGGCUAAUCCUGGUCGGACAUCAGGAGGUUAGUGCAAUGGCAUAAGCCAGCUUGACUGCGAGCGUGACGGCGCGAGCAGGUGCGAAAGCAGGUCAUAGUGAUCCGGUGGUUCUGAAUGGAAGGGCCAUCGCUCAACGGAUAAAAGGUACUCCGGGGAUAACAGGCUGAUACCGCCCAAGAGUUCAUAUCGACGGCGGUGUUUGGCACCUCGAUGUCGGCUCAUCACAUCCUGGGGCUGAAGUAGGUCCCAAGGGUAUGGCUGUUCGCCAUUUAAAGUGGUACGCGAGCUGGGUUUAGAACGUCGUGAGACAGUUCGGUCCCUAUCUGCCGUGGGCGCUGGAGAAUUGAGGGGGGCUGCUCCUAGUACGAGAGGACCGGAGUGGACGCAUCACUGGUGUUCGGGUUGUCAUGCCAAUGGCACUGCCCGGUAGCUAAAUGCGGAAGAGAUAAGUGCUGAAAGCAUCUAAGCACGAAACUUGCCCCGAGAUGAGUUCUCCCUGAGACUUUAAGUCUCCUGAAGGAACGUUGAAGACGACGACGUUGAUAGGUCGGGUGUGUAAGCGCAGCGAUGCGUUGAGCUAACCGAUACUAAUGAACCGUGAGGCUUAACCUU
rnacentral:rRNA from 1 species